rnacentral:rRNA from 1 species
UACGAAGGUGGCAAGCGUUGUUCGGAUUUACUGGGCGUAAAGGGAGCGUAGGUGGUUAGGUAAGCCCUCUGGGAAAUCUUCAGGCUUAACCUGAAAAGGUCGGGGGGGACUGCCUGGCUAGAGGACGGGAGAGGAGCGCGGAAUUCCCGGUGUAGCGGUGAAAUGCGUAGAGAUCGGGAGGAAGGCCGGUGGCGAAGGCGGCGCUCUGGAACGUUUCUGACACUGAGGCUCGAAAGCGUGGGGAGCAAACAGG